GAUGAAGAACGUAGCGAAAUGCGAUAAGUAAUGCGAAUUGCAGAAUUCCAGUGAGUCAUCGAAUCUUUGAACGCACAUUGCGCCCUUUGGUAUUCCGAAGGGCAUGCCUGUUCGAGCGUCAUUUCAACCAUCAAGCCCCAGGCUUGUGUUGGGGACCUGCGGCUGCCGCAGGCCCUGAAAACCAGUGGCGGGCUCGCUGUCACACCGGGCGUAGUAGAUUUUAUCUCGCUCAGGGCGUGCUGCGGGUUCCGGCCGUUAAAAAGCCUUUUUUACCCAAGGUUGACCUCGGAUCAGGUAGGAAGACCCGCUGAACUUAAGCAUAUCAAUAAGCGGAGGA
rnacentral:misc_RNA from 1 species